GAGGAAGGCGGGCGGCGUGCUUAACACAUGCAAGUCGAACGGAAAGGCCCUGCUUGCAGGGUACUCGAGUGGCGAACGGGUGAGUAACACGUGGGUGAUCUGCCCUGCACUUCGGGAUAAGCCUGGGAAACUGGGUCUAAUACCGGAUAGGAGCCAUUUUUAGUGUGAUGGUUGGAAAGUUUUUUCGGUGUAGGAUGAGCUCGCGGCCUAUCAGCUUGUUGGUGGGGUAAUGGCCUACCAAGGCGGCGACGGGUAGCCGGCCUGAGAGGGUGGACGGCCAUAUUGGGACUGAGAUACGGCACAGACUCCGAAGGGAGGCAGAAGUGGGGAAUAUUGAACAAUGGGCGCAAGCCUGAUGCAGCGACGCCGCGUGGGGGAUGACGGCCUUAGGGUUGUAAACUCAUUUCGCUAGGGACGAAGCUUUUUGUGACGGUACCUAGAUAAGAAGCACCGGCUAACUACGUG
rnacentral:rRNA from 1 species